UGACUGUAGGUGAAAGCUUACAUCUCUUCGGAGCAUUUUACGAGGUGCUGCAUGGUUGUCGUCAGCUCGUGCCGUGAGGUGUCGGGUUAAGUCCCAUAACGAGCGCAACCCUACCCUUUAGUUGCCAUCAGGUAAUGCUGGGGACUCUAAAGGAACUGCCUACGCAAGUAGUGAGGAAGGCGGGGAUGACGUCAAAUCAGCACGGCCCUUACGUCCAGGGCUACACACGUGCUACAAUGGCCGAUACAGAGGGCAGCUACCUGGUGACAGGAUGCAAAUCUCCAAAGUCGGUCUCAGUUCGGAUCGGAGUCUGCAACCCGACUCCGUGAAGUUGGAUUCGCUAGUAAUCGCGCAUCAGCCAUGGCGCGGUGAAUACGUUCCCGGGCCUU
rnacentral:rRNA from 1 species